rnacentral:lncRNA from 1 species
GCUGUGACUCCUGCAGCCGAGGACAUUGUGACUCCUUCCCUGGCUGCGAGACCUGUCCGUCCUGCUUCUUCACCCUGGACGCCCAGAGACAGAACCUCAGUGCAGCUCUGGAGAGACUCUCCCCCAGAUUCCCUUCCCGUCCUGGAGGGGCUGGUGAUCCUGGAAACUUUGGACCUCGCAUCCUCAUCCUGGAGAACAGCCUGAACCUGAUCCGGGACUCCAUCUCCCUCCCCCCCAGUAUUACCACACAGGUCGAUAAUGCUCUGCUCCAACUGGACAAGCUCAGGAACCGGGUGGACAGGGUUAACAGUGACCUUUCACCCCUGACAACAACUACUGGUCUGGACUCGGAGCUGGACAGACUGCAGGCUCUGCUGGACAACCUCACUCUGGUGUACAAAGCCAAGAAAGAUGCAAAGGACAACUCCGGCAAUCAGAACAAUGCAGGAGCAUUUUCUGCCAUCAAGACCGCCUACGAUGAGUCUACAGAUGCAGCUAAGAAAGUAAUUGCCAGCGGAGACGUGGUGAAGGAGUCAGCUGAUGCCAGAGGAAAGACUAUGGACCUUCAAAACCAAGUCCAGCCAGCCAACACCAGAGACCUGGACAAACUGAACCAGAGCAUGGCCUCCCGACCCGAC